rnacentral:SRP_RNA from 13 species
GCUGGGCAUGGUGGCGCGUGCCUGUAAUCCCAGCUACUCGGGAGGCUGAGGCAGGAGAAUUGCCUGAACCCAGGAGGUGGAGGUUGUGGUGAGCCGAGAUCGCGCCAUUGCACUCCAGCCUGGGUAACAAGAGUGAAACUCCGUCUCAAAAAAAAAAAAAAAAGACAGAGUCUUGCUCUGUCACCCAGGGUGGAGUGCAGUGGUGCAAUCUCAGCUCACUGCAGCCUUCACCUCCUGGGUUCAAGUGAUUCUCCUGUCUCAG